rnacentral:misc_RNA from 1 species
CAACAGCAUUACAGUUGGUGUUUGAAGGUCGAUACAUGUUGGCGAUCAGUUUAUCCUUUAUCCAUCUUGUGCUUAUGGACUAUGGUACUUCGGAAAUUCAAGAUGAUAUCCCUGGCUAUAGUGCAUAUCUCACUGGUCUCAGCAUCAUCGGUGGAAUGACACUGUGCUCUUCAGCAAUUGAGGGAGCAAUAAUGGGUCCGCUAAUAACUACUGUUGUGAUUGG